rnacentral:rRNA from 1 species
UACGUAGGUGGCAAGCGUUGUCCGGAUUUACUGGGCGUAAAGAGCGCGCAGGCGGUUGGGUAAGUCGAAUGUGAAAGCCCCCGGCUCAACUGGGGAGGGUCAUUCGAUACUGUCCGACUCGAAGGCAGGAGAGGGAAGCGGAAUUCCCGGUGUAGUGGUGAAAUGCGUAGAUAUCGGGAGGAACACCAGUGGCGAAGGCGGCUUUCUGGCCUGUUCUUGACGUUGAGGCGCGAAAGCCAGGGGAGCAAACGGG